rnacentral:rRNA from 1 species
UACAGGGGGGGCAAGCGUUGUUCGGAAUUACUGGGCGUAAAGGGUCUGUAGGUGGCCAACUAAGUCAGACGUGAAAUCCCUCAGCUUAACUGGGGAACUGCGUCUGAGACUGGUGAGCUUGAGUGCAGGAGAGGAACGCGGAAUUCCAGGUGUAGCGGUGAAAUGCGUAGAUAUCUGGAGGAACACCGGUGGCGAAGGCGGCGUUCUGGACUGCUACUGACACUGAGGAACGAAAGCCAGGGGAGCAAACGGG